rnacentral:lncRNA from 1 species
UGUGGCGUCCACUUUUAUUAAAGAUUAAUACUUUAGUUUUUUUUAAGUUUACAUUAAGGCACCAGGUAUCACAGUAUGAUUCCAAUGCCUUCAAGCGCUUUUGAAGUCCAUCUGCAGAAUCAGAAAAUACAAUGACAUCAUCUGCAUACAUAAGACAGUCUAUGCGACUAGUGCUGAGUUUUACACUAUCAGGACAAUUUAGUAAACAGUUAGGUAGAUCAUUUAUGAAUAGAUUAAAAAGGGCAGGGCUUAAAACAUCCCCUUGUCUAACCCCAAUAUAAGAGUUAAAACAUGGACCUAGUUUGUUAUCAACUUUUACUCUUAAAUUAUUAAGUGUAUACAUGUGUUUAAUUAACUGGUAAAAUUUUCCCCCAAUGUCUGACUUGAGCAUUUUGAUAAGAAUACCUGGGUGUAUCACAGUAUCAAAAGCUCUUUUAAAGUCAAUAAAACAAGCAUAAAAUUUUACUUCCCUUACAGUUAGUAUAUUUAUCAAUUAAGCAUUUGAGGAUAAACAUGUGAUCUGUUGUCCUUGAUUUAUUUCUGAAGCCAGCUUGGCAAUCAGUCAAAAUAUUUCUCUCAUCUAAAUGUUUAGAAAGUCUUGUAUUUAACACAACAUUAAAUAACUUUCCAAUACAAGAAUUUAUAGCUAUACCUCUGUAAUUUUCAGGGUUAUUUAUAUCUCCUGAUUUAUGUAUAGGUAUACAGUAUCCUUC